rnacentral:rRNA from 1 species
AACGAACGCUGGCGGCAUGCCUAACACAUGCAAGUCGAACGAGACCUUCGGGUCUAGUGGCGCACGGGUGCGUAACGCGUGGGAACCUGCCCUUAGGUUCGGAAUAACUCCCCGAAAGGGGUGCUAAUACCGGAUAAUGUCUUCGGACCAAAGAUUUAUCGCCUUUGGAUGGGCCCGCGUUGGAUUAGCUAGUUGGUAGGGUAAAAGCCUACCAAGGCGUCGAUCCAUAGCUGGUCUGAGAGGAUGAUCAGCCACACUGGGACUGAGACACGGCCCAGACUCCUACGGGAGGCAGCAGUGGGGAAUAUUGGAAAAUGGGCGAAAGCCUGAUCCAGCAAUGCCGCGUGAGUGAUGAAGGCCUUAGGGUUGUAAAGCUCUUUUACCCGGGAUGAUAAUGACAGUACCGGGAGAAUAAGCUCCGGCUAACUCCGUG